rnacentral:lncRNA from 1 species
UUCAAAGCUGAUAAUAUAUAUGGUUUUUUUGGAUAACUCAAGUUAGAUAAUUCGGUUCUCAAUUUAUAGUUAUUUAAGAUAAAAUUUUGUUUUUUGGCUGUUUUUAAAACUUAGAUGAUAAUGUGUACAAAUCAUUAUCUAGGUUAACAGAGGAAUUCUUACUGAUGAUGAGGAAUUGGAUAAGCUUUUUGACAAAGCUCAGAAAGAAAAGAUUCUACAGGUCAUAUUUUAUUUACUAUAUUUUUUUUUUUGUAUUUUAGAAUUUUUGAAGUUAAUAUUAAUUUUUUUUUUGUCUAUCAGGUGAAUCAUUAUUGUCAUAUUCCAGUUCCUUUUGAUCUGAUUGAAGCAGCUCAUGUUGAUCGGAUUAAAUUUUCAUAAUCUUCAUUAAGUUCUACGCACAUUUAGCUAGGUUCAAUCGAGAAUGAACAAAUUCACAGAAUUUUAAUGGAACAGAAGAAAACAACAUAAGAAAGCACGAAUUUAAGAUCUAACAUAAGUUUUCAGGAAAGAAAUUAAAUCAAGAAGUGCGAUUCGAAAGUCACUUUGAGAUGUAGUUGGAGAAGAUUGCAGAGAACAAGUUUCAC